AAGCUAAUUCUCCAGUGGAAGAGCUUGUUUUAUUCAGAACAAGCUUUAUUCAAGUACUCCAAAACUAAAGAUAUGGUUAAUGAUUUUGCUAGCUCAAAAGCAGAUUACUCCAAAGUUUUUUCCAAUUCUAUGAUCAAAGAUGAGCAGCCUUACAGGAGGUGACAUGGUUAAAAAAAUUGCAUGACAGUUAGCUGAUUAAUUCAAAGUUAAUUCUACUUUUAUCUAUCAUUCCCUGUAUUAUCAUAGUUCAUUAUAUUGAAUGCAAUAACAAGCAAAUUCUCCGGUGGAAGAGCUUGUUUUAUUCAGAACAAGCUUUAUUCAAGUACUCCAAAACUAAAGAUAUGGUUAAUGAUUUUGCUAGCUCAAAAGCAGAUUACUCCAAAGUUUUUUCCAAUUCUAUGAUCAAAGAUGAGCAGCCUUACAGGAGGUGACAUGGUUAAAAAAAUUGCAUGACAGUUAGCUGAUUAAUUCAAAGUUAAUUCUACUUUUAUCUAUCAUUCCCUGUAUUAUCAUAGUUCAUUAUAUUGAAUGCAAUAACAAGCAAAUUCUCCGGUGGAAGAGCUUGUUUUAUUCAGAACAAGCUUUAUUCAAGUACUCCAAAACUAAAGAUAUGGUUAAUGAUUUUGCUAGCUCAAAAGCAGAUUACUCCAAAGUUUUUUCCAAUUCUAUGAUCAAAGAUGAGCAGCCUUACAGGAGGUGACAUUGUUAAAAAAAUUGCAUGACAGUUAACUGAUUAAUUCAAAGUUAAUUCUACUUUUAUCUAUCAUGCCUUGUAUUAUCAUAGUUCAUUAUAUUGAAUGCAAUAAUUAGAGGAAAU
rnacentral:lncRNA from 1 species